rnacentral:lncRNA from 1 species
UCUGUAGUAGUCCAUAUUCUUUAUUUGUAGAGCCAUAUUCUGUCUGUUGUAGCCCUAUUCCUGUUGUCGUUCCCAUAUUCCGGUAGUAGUCCAUAUCUGUUGUAGUACAUAAUUCUGUAGUAGUGUAUUCGUGUUGUAGUCCAUAUCCUGUAGUAGUCCAUAUUCUGUUGUAGUCCAUAUUCCUGUUGUAGUCCAUAGUCUGUUGUAGUCCAUAUUCUGUGGUAUCCAUAUUCUGUUUUUUUGGGCCCAUGUUCUGUUUGUAGUCCAUAUUCUGUAGUAGUCCAUAUUACUUUUGUAGUCCAUAUUCUGGUUAGUAGUCCAUAUCUGUUGUAGUCCAAGUUCUGUUGUAGUACAUAUUCAUGUUGUAGGUCGCAUAUUCGUUUUUUAGUCGCAUAGUCUGUUUUGGUCCCAUGUUCUGUUGUGUCCAUAUUCUGUAGUAGUCCAUAUUCUGUGUAGGUCCAUAUUUCGGUUGUAGUCAUAGUUCUUGUUGUAAGUCCAUAUCUGUUGAGUCCAUAUUCUGUUUUGGUCCCAUGUUCUGUUGUAGUCCAUAUUCUGUAGUAGUCCCAUAUUCUGUAGUAGUCCAUAUUCUGUUGUAGUCCAUAUUCUGUUGUAGUCCAAUUUCUGUGGUAGCCAUAAUUCAUGUUGUAGUCCGAUUCUGUUUUGGUCCCAAUGUUUCUGUUUAGUCCAUAUUCUGUAAGUAGUCACCAAGGU